GUGGGGAAUCUUGCGCAAUGGGCGAAAGCCUGACGCAGCCAUGCCGCGUGGAUGAUGAAGGUCUUAGGAUUGUAAAAUCCUUUCACCGGUGAAGAUAAUGACUGUAGCCGGAGAAGAAGCCCCGGCUAACUUCGUGCCAGCAGCCGCGGUAAUACGAAGGGGGCUAGCGUUGCUCGGAUUUACUGGGCGUAAAGGGCGCGUAGGCGGACAUUUAAGUGAGGGGUGAAAUCCCGGGGCUCAACCUCGGAACUGCCUUUGAUACUGGGUGUCUUGAGUAUGAGAGAGGUGUGUGGAACUCCGAGUGUAGAGGUGAAAUUCGUAGAUAUUCGGAAGAACACCAGUGGCGAAGGCGACACACUGGCUCAUUACUGACGCUGAGGCGCGAAAGCGUGGGGAGCAAACAGGAUUAGAAACCCCAGUAGUCC
rnacentral:rRNA from 1 species